ensembl:snoRNA
GGGGUAUGCUCAGAGCAAGGGGCCUAAAGAAUGGCUCCUCUGUUUAUAACAUGCCCAACAGGAAACUGGGAUCAUUGUGAUGAGGGGCACAGAACUUGUGGCCUCUCUAUCAACAAAUUCCCUACAUGU